GCUGGAACGGUUGUGCCCGGCCCAACCUGAGGCGGGCGAGAGAGGCCAACGAGGAAGCAGCCUUCCCCCCUUCCCGUAGCGUGAGGAGUGGGAGAAGGCGAGGGACCCGGACCUCGGCACGUUUGAUUGGAAGUAAGCCCUGCUGUUGAGUGGGACAUACUCCCAAGUGGCAUCCAUGCACACAGGAUGGCACGUAUCAGCACAAAAUCCGUGUUUCUAACAGUUUCCAAGGACAUAUUCAUGGCUGCUUGAAGCAUAUCAUCUUCACUCAUAUCACCUCCUGGCAGAAAAGAAAAUGCAUUAGGUCCUGGAAUACUGCUAUAAAAUGGAGAAAAUGGCCUAGUUCAGAUCAUCAUUCAAGGCUUCAUAAACUAUGGAAGUCAGGAAUGAGCACUGGGGCCAAGCUUCCUAGACCCUCCACCCUCCUCUCGACACCAGCUGACUUUGACGCAAAGAUAAUGGGUUUGUAUUAAGCUAGAGUUCCCUGUUACGUCUGAUUCAGGGAACUCUGGCUUAAUGUGAGUUAAUAAACCUGGAACAUAAACUAUAAACAUAAACUAUGAUUUACGAAGCUUUGAACCAUUAUCCAAACUGGCCAAUGAAUGUCACACCUUCCUUUCUUCUUCUUUAAACCCUUUAUAUCUCUUACCAAAUAAAAUUAAUACUUGAAUUGUA